GGCUCGCGGCGCGCGGCACAAGCUCUGUACUGUACAUCGUCAAUACAUAGCGGCACGCAACAAUCUCGCGAUCUAUACUAGAGUAUAUGUAAAUAAAUAUCAUUUAAUUCGUCAACUCACUGUGUCCUGACCCUUAUUGUAAUAUAUGUACUGCAAAUAUAUUAUAUCUGUGUUACGUAUAAACAGAGUUAAUGUACUGUGUUGACUUACAUGGAUGUUAGUUAAUAAUAUUGUAAUACUUCGACCUGCCUGCCCAAAUGAGCCAACUCAGUAGCAGUGCAUUCUAGAACUGACUAGGAUCUUCUGAAGAACUAACCUGAAUCAUCUGAAGGCAGUUGGCUGGUGCGGUAUUCAUCUCUCUAACACUCCCAUUUUCAUAAAAGGUAAUCUGAAUUCAGUGUAAUGUACUAUAUUAUACAUGCAUACUAUAUACAUUAUUAUAACAUUUUCUAAAAUUGAAUGUU